rnacentral:snRNA from 1 species
AUAACAUCUCUGCCUUCUGGCUAAGAUCAAGUGUAGUAUCUGUCCUUCUCAGUUGGGUGAGACACUGCCACCUGCUGUAGAGACAGAGAGGCACCUCUG